UCUUUUCUCGGUGAAACAGGAACAAGAUCGAGGGAGGCUGGAGGCUUGAGGAGAGUGAGAUAGCUGUCCAGGAGAGAGGAAAAGGACAGAGAGAUGGGGACAGUCACCGGGUAGCAAGAAGGGUUGCGGAGUGUCAAGGGAAGGCUGCAGAGUGUGGUCGGCCAGCAGGCUGCUGCCCUCCCUGCUGCCCCUGAGGCUGGGCUUGGUGUUGAGAAAGCAGAGGGCGGGCGGCACUGAGCCAGGCUCCGUGUUUGCCGAGCAGUGACACUGUGGGGACAGCUCCCCUUCCAUUUCUGCAGAGUGGGUGGGACCUCCUGCUGCAGAGUGGGAGUGGCCGGUGCAGAAGUGGGAGGGGAGCUCGAGUACAGCCAGACCUCCAGAACAUUCUCACCAGAACCCAGGUGAGAAACCACAGUGUACUUUCCUUCAAGGCUGCCCUUCACUUUAAUCUGAUCUCAUGCAACACGUGGAAGGAGGGGAGGGGCAGGUGGGGGGUGGGCGUGGACAUCGACGGCCCCUGUCCUGGACAGUGCCCACCGACACUGUCUGUCCCAGACCUGAUCCCCCGACCGGGAACUACUGUCUGAGCAGAGACUCUGCACACACACUCCUCACCUUGAAGGCAGAGUUUUGUCACCAUCUCUUUCGUGCUUAUGGCGCAAGUGGCUACCGCUGCCCAACAGAUGGAGUUCAUGGACGUCCGGGUCCUGGAGAAACGUAUGUGCUGGCUGUGACAGACAGGCAGUGGGAAAAAACCAGGCCCAAGAGCUUUGAAGACCAAGUUUCUGUCUGUGCUGUGGGCUGCUCCUGACAGGAGCUGACAUCUGAGCUAUGCACCAGGCACUGGCAUUUCCUUCUCCCUUCCACCCGUGUCAUCCUGUGAUGGGUCCAGGGAAGACCCUUCUCUCUUCAAGACUACCCUUGAUGUAAAUUUUAGCCAGGUGUCACCUGAAGCGGAAGGAUGAGGGUCGGUAUGAGCAUACACAGACGGCUGAGGCUACAAGUUCGAGAUGUCCACUGGGGCCGCAGUUUGGAAAGUACGUGCUGACAUGGCAGCUGAGAACCAAAACCCCUUCUGAGCCUGUGGUCAAACCCUCCUAAUAAGAAGAGAAACCGAGAGUCUCAGGCCGCGUGCUGGGAGAGCCGCACGGUCGGGCAAGGGGCUGGGGGUGGGGGAGGCGCCAGGAAAACUCUGAAAAUUCUGCACCCUGUUUUGCUUUCACUCACCUAGAUUUAGAAGAAUCCUCUGGCAAAAUGAAACUGAACUCUUACUUCCCCACUGAUGGUCUCCCGGUGACGGCAUAGACACUCUUGUCCUUGGUGAUAGAUCUGGAUGCUUUGGGUGUCGGCUUUGUCAAGGUUUAAUUUAUGUACAAUAAAAUCCCCCAAUUUGAAGUGUACCAUUUAAUGAGUUUUGACAAAUGUGUACAGUCCUGCAGCCACCACGAUCAUGACAUAAACCAUUUCCAUCGUCCCAACAGUUCCCUCAUCUCUCUCUGGGUAAUCUCCUCCUUCCACCCCCAGCUCCCGGCAACCCCCGAGCUGCUUUCCAGCACUGUGGUUUGGCUUUUUUUUUUUAUGAAUUGUAUGUGCGUAGAAUCUUACAGCAUGUGGUCCUUUAUGUCUGGCUUUUGAAACUUAAUGGAGUGCUUUUACGAGUCCUCCACACUGUUGUGUUUCAGUUGCCUGUUCGGUGUGGAGACAUGACAAUUUGUUUGACCAUUCACCAGUUCCUGGAUGUCUGGGUUGUUUCCAGUGUUUGGAGACACCGAAUAAAGCUGCUAUAAACAUUCAUUUACAGGUAUUAACGUGGACAUAUGUUUUCUAUUUUUGUGGUAAAUACCUAUAAGUGGAAUUACUGGGGCAUAUGGUAAGUUUAUGUUUAACUUUUUAAGGAACUGCCAAACUAUUUUCUGAAGUGGCUGCACCAUUUUGCAUUCCACCAGCAAUGUCUGUGAGUUCCAGUUGCUCUAUAUCCUGGUCAGCACUUGGUAUUGUCAGUCUUAUGAUUUUAACCAUUCUAGUGACCAUAUAGGGGUAUCACUUUGUGGUUUUAAUUUGUAUUUCCCUCGUGACCCAUGGUGUUUUCAUGUGCUUAUUUGCCAUCUGUAUAUCUUCUUUGAUGAAAUGUGUGUUUAGGUCGUUUGACCAUUUUUAAAAACUGAGUUGUUUGUAUCCUUAUUAUUGAGUUGCAAGAGUUCUUUACAUAUUCUGGAUAUAAGUCUUUUGUCAGAUAUAUUUUUUGCAACUAUUUUUUUGUGGCUUGCCUUUUCAUUUUCUUAACACUGUUAUUUGAAGAACAAAAUUUUAAAAAUUUUGAUAAAGUCUAAUUUAUCAAAUAUUUACUUUAUAGUUUG
ensembl:lncRNA